UGGGGAAUUUUGGACAAUGGGGGAAACCCUGAUCCAGCCAUCCCGCGUGUGCGAUGAAGGCCUUCGGGUUGUAAAGCACUUUUGGCAGGAAAGAAACGUCAUGGGUUAAUACCCCGUGAAACUGACGGUACCUGCAGAAUAAGCACCGGCUAACUACGUGCCAGCAGCCGCGGUAAUACGUAGGGUGCAAGCGUUAAUCGGAAUUACUGGGCGUAAAGCGUGCGCAGGCGGUUCGGAAAGAAAGAUGUGAAAUCCCAGAGCUCAACUUUGGAACUGCAUUUUUAACUACCGGGCUAGAGUGUGUCAGAGGGAGGUGGAAUUCCGCGUGUAGCAGUGAAAUGCGUAGAUAUGCGGAGGAACACCGAUGGCGAAGGCAGCCUCCUGGGAUAACACUGACGCUCAUGCACGAAAGCGUGGGCAGCAAACAGG
rnacentral:rRNA from 1 species